rnacentral:rRNA from 1 species
UACGAAGGGGGCUAGCGUUGUUCGGAAUUACUGGGCGUAAAGGGCGCGUAGGCGGUUUGACCAGUCAGGUGUGAAAUUCCCGGGCUUAACCUGGGGGCUGCACUUGAUACUGUCAGGCUUGAAUUCGGGAGAGGAUAGCGGAAUUCCCAGUGUAGAGGUGAAAUUCGUAGAUAUUGGGAAGAACACCAGUGGCGAAGGCGGCUAUCUGGACCGACAUUGACGCUGAGGCGCGAAAGCGUGGGGAGCAAACAGG